rnacentral:rRNA from 1 species
CCUAGGGCGGCUGCAGUGAGGAAUAUUGGUCAAUGGACGCAAGUCUGAACCAGCCAUGCCGCGUGCAGGAAGACGGCUCUAUGAGUUGUAAACUGCUUUUGUACGAGGGUAAACGCAGAUACGCGUAUCUGUCUGAAAGUAUCGUACGAAUAAGGAUCGGCUAACUCCGUGCCAGCAGCCGCGGUAAUACGGAGGAUUCAAGCGUUAUCCGGAUUUAUUGGGUUUAAAGGGUGCGUAGGCGGUCGGAUAAGUUAGAGGUGAAAUCCCGAGGCUCAACCCCGUCGAGCCGUUGAAACUGGCAGACUUGAGUUGGCGAGAAGUACGCGGAAUGCGCGGUGUAGCGGUGAAAUGCAUAGAUAUCGCGCAGAACUCCGAUUGCGAAGGCAGCGUACCGGCGCCAGACUGACGCUGAGGCACGAAAGCGUGGGGAUCGAACAGGAUUAGAUACCCCAGUAGUC